rnacentral:lncRNA from 10 species
GCGGAAUUCCUCAUCUCCCACACAACCCUUUGCCGCUCUGGUAUCAGCUGGUGGCUUCUCCGUGGCCAUGCAGAGAAUAGAGACAGAACUUGAAACUGAUGUGCACAUGAGUGAGAUUCUUCAGCAAGGUGACAGACAGGAGGGUAAAGAGGAAGUAGGAUGAGCUCUUUGCUUUGAGUUUCUGUUUUCCAGGUCGGCUUGAUUGGAAAGAGGGAUGGCCGUGGUGAGAGUUGACAGUGUGCUGGUAGCCCUCGCAGCCCACGCUCGCUCUCGGCGCCUCCUCUGCCUGGGCUCCCACUUUGACGGCACUUGAGGAGCCCUCCAGCCCGCCGCCGCACUGUGGGAGCCCCUUGCUGGGCUGGCCGAGACCGGAGCCAGCUCCCUCAGCUUGCAGGGAGGUGUGGAGGGAGAGGCAUGGGCGGGAACCAGGGCUUCGCGGGUGCCUGCGGGCCAGCACGAGUUCCGGGUGGGCGUGGGCUCAGCGGGCCUCACACUGGGAGCCGCAGGCCGGCUCGCAAGUCCCGGGCAGUGAGGAGCUUACUACCCGGGCCAGCAGCUGCGGAGGGUGUGCCGGGUCCCCCAGCAGUGCCGGCCCACCGGCUCUGUGCUGGAUUUCUUGCCGUGCCUUAGCUGCCUCCCCUCGGGCAGGGCUGGGGACCUGCAGCCUGCCAUGCCUGAGUCUCCCUCCGCACUGCCAGAUGCUCCUGCCGGGCCUGAGUCUCCCCGACGAGCGCUGCCCCAUGUUCCACGGCGCCCGAUCCCAUCCACUGCCCAAGGUCUGAGGAGUGCCAGCGCACGGCGACGGAGUGGCAGGCAGCUCCACCUGCGGCCCCGGUGUGAGAUCCACUGGAUGAAGCCAGCUGGACUCCUGAGUCUGGUGGGGACUUGGAGAAUCUUUAUGUCUAGCUGGGGGAUUGUGAAUGCACCAAUCAGCACUCUGUAUCUAGCUCAAGAUUUACAGGUUCAGUCCUGAAGCCAGCGAGACAAAGAACCCACUGGGAAGAACAAACAACUCCAGACGCCCCAACUUAAGAGCUGUUAACACCCGAAGAUCUGCAGCUUCACUUUUGAGCCAGCGAGACCACGAACCCACCAGAAGGAAGAAACUCUGAACAGGCUGGAACGUCAGAAGGAACAAACUCAGGACAUGCCACCUUUAAGAACUGUAACACUCACUGUGAGGGUCUGCGGCUUCAUUCUUGAAGGCUGUGAGACCAAGAACCCACCAAUUUCGGACACACUGGGACCACCCUCGCUGACUGGAGCACUUGAGGCAAUCAUUCCCAGAUAGUGGAACCUCGAAUGGCAGACACUGUGGUUCUCCUGCGGGGCUGAGAACUGUGAGGAGCAGAGCAGACUUCAUGGAGCUCCACAAGUCACAUACACAGGCGGCUGCUGGCUAUUUCCGCUUUCUCAUCUGGAAUUGGCAGCGGACUAAGUGGGCCCUACUUAUUAGGUUGGUGCAAAAGUAAUCGCGAUUCUUGCCAUUAAAAGUAAUGGCAAAAGCUGCGAUUACUUUUGCACCAAUCUUACUAUAUAUAUAUUAUUUUUUCAAAUCUCAGUUUUAUUCUCAUUCCAGCAUCCUAAUGCUUUCCCUUUGGAUUUUUUUUUCUAAUCUUGAGAAGUUUGUGUUUUCAGUGUAGUAAUAACAAUAAUAGUGUUCUUAGCACACGCGUUACGCCAAGGGCUUUUAAAAGAUACUUUUCAUAAACCAACUCACUUAAUUCUCACAACAACUUUUGAAGUAGUCCACUUUCUAAUCCUCAUUUUACAGAUAAGGAAACUGAGGCACACAAGGUCAGCUAACCUGCCCGAGGUCUCUAGCUAGUGACUGGAAGAGGUGUUCUCUGGAUAUUAUUUGAAUCUCAGUCUCGCUAUAUUUCUUCGUCAUGACUGUAACUUUCCCCCUGUAUUUCUAAAUAUUUUAAUCUCUUGAUCAUAUAGCAUACGUUGAUUUAAUAAAUCACUUUUACAUGCAUUAUCGUAUUUGGUAUUCAUCACAGCUCUCUGAGGUGGGUAAGGGAGAUUUGGUUACUUCUUUCUGACAAAUGAGAAAAAUGAUGCUCAUAGACACUGUUAAGUUAGAAGCACAGGGCGUUAAUUCUGGAAGUGUUUUAAAGAUUACCCAAUCCAGCCACUCAACUUUUAGGAAAUUGAGCGUCAGAAAAAUAAAUGCCUUUCUCUAGUUCCCACAGCUGGCUGCAGUACCAAUCACCUGCCUCUGAGUUCAUUGCCAGCUGGGUGCUGUGGAACUUACCUUGACUUUGGAGUUAAUUAUCCAACUUCUCUGAGCUAUA